GUGGGUUCUGGCCCCCAGCACUCAGCCUUAUCAUAGGUCUUUGCAUCUACAUCUAUUAGGAAUGGAUGAUUGAAUGGAUGAAUGAACUCCACAGGAAGAUGAGGAAAGCCUUUAUGGAUGGAGUGAGCUUGCAGCAGAGUCUCAAAGGAAGAAAUAAAACAAACUUCUACAUGGCAAAAUAAACCUCUACAUGGCAAAAUAAACCUCUACAUGGCAAAAUAAACCUCUACAUGGAUAGAGAUCUGUCUCAGACACAUUUUGGUUUCCAUGACUUCUGAAUGGCAGCAUGAGGAGCUCCAUGAACCCUCUCCCCAGUGAAAUGACCAUAAUCUCUGGAAAUUGCUUAAGAUCAAAGCCACAACUAUUUAAAGCCUUUGGAAAUUGUUUUAUGGGGAUGCGGCAAAUUAAUAAACUUUUAUUCAAGAAAAUGUACUAAGUCUCAGUAAGAACAGUGAGAGUCAAUAACAUUUGUA
rnacentral:lncRNA from 10 species